GGAAGAUAUUGAUAAUCUUGCAAGUUUGUUACAAAAGGAAGAAUGGGAAAUGUCUGAACAGAGUCCUGGACCCAGACGAGGCAAAAUAUUUUUUAACAGAGGCCAUAGCGAAAAUCCUGAUGAAGAAAGCAUUUCAAGUAUGGAACUACAUGAUGAGAUUGAAAAGCUACAGUCGAAGGUUUCAGAUAUUUAUCAGCAGCAGGAAAGUACAACUUUGACACUGACCAAUGAGAUGCGGAGAACACAAGAUUUGAUCAAUGAAAUCCUCAAGCAUAUUGGAUCUGGUGGCAGUGUGUCUCAAUCACCUCCUGAAUCAACUUAAGAUGUUCAGGAAAGCAGUCAUGGAUGAGAUUCUUCAACUAGUAAGUAAUUAAUUACUCAAGAUGACAUGAAGUGAGCACUGUGGCUUUCUAUUCAAAGUGGAAACCGAGUGCGAAUGGUAAUCAAAAGUUGACUGCAGAAGAAAUGCCAACAUCAAUUCAUUCUAUACUCAUAUUUCACAGCAGGCAUUCAAGUUAAAGAAUGGCUGAAAAUGUGGAUAUUGUUGACAAAAAUUGAAGAUAAAAAAUAUACUAACUACACAAUCAUGACUUAAUAUAGGUAUACCACCAAUUUUCCAGCAACUGAUGGUCCAGCACUUCCUUUAAUCUGGACAAAAUUACAAGAGAGCACUUGUAUUUAAUGAAAAGUAACUACUGGGUUUACUGAGAUGAGCAUCGCGAAGGACUAGGUUCCUGAUUGUUAAAAUUGCCCAAUGCGUUUACAGUGCUUUGCCAAUACAAAAUGAGUUUAUUGAAAAGAUUCCGAUAAGGGCUUUACAGGAAGAUAUCACAAGGCAGCACAUUGGUGUAGUGUUAGAGUUGCUGCCUCACAGUGC